rnacentral:rRNA from 1 species
UACGGAGGGGACUAGCGUUGUUCGGAAUUACUGGGCGUAAAGCGCACGUAGGCGGAUUUGUAAGUCAGGGGUGAAAUCCCGGGGCUCAACCUCGGAACUCGCCUUUGAUACUGCAAAUCUCGAGUCCGGAAGAGGUGAGUGGAAUUCCUAGUGUAGAGGUGAAAUUCGUAGAUAUUAGGAAGAACACCAGUGGCGAAGGCGGCUCACUGGUCCGGUACUGGACGCUGAGGUGCGAAAGCGUGGGGAGCAACAGGG